CUACGUAGGUGGCAAGCGUUAUCCGGAAUUACUGGGCGUAAAGAGUGAGCAGGCGGUUAAUUAAGUCUGAGGUUAAAGCGUGGGGCUCAACCCCAUAAAGCCUUGGAAAAUGUUUGACUAGAGUACUGGAGAAGCGAAGGGAACCCCAUGUGUAGCGGUGAAAUGCGUAGAUAUAUGGAAGAACACCAGUGGCGAAGGCGCUUCACUAGCCCGAAACUGACGCUCAGUCACGAAAGCGUGGGUAGCAAAUAGGAUUAGAUACCCUAGUAGUCCACGCUGUAAACGAUGACAACUAAAUAUUGCCGCGAGGCAGUGUUGAAGCUAACGCAUUAAGUUGUCCGCCUGGGGAGUACGGUCGCAAGACUGAAACUUAAAGGAAUUGACGGGG
rnacentral:rRNA from 1 species